GACAUAGGUCGCAAACGUUAUCCGGAAUUAUUGGGCGUAAAGAGCGUGUAGGCGGCCAGGUAGGUCCGUUGUGAAAACUCGAGGCUCAACCUCGAGACGCCGAUGGAAACCAUCUGGCUAGAGUCCGGAAGAGGAGAGUGGAAUUCCCGGUGUAGCGGUGAAAUGCGCAGAUAUCGGGAAGAACACCCGUGGCUAAGGCGGCUCUCUAGUACGGUACUGACGCUGAGACGCGAAAGCGUGGGGAGCGAACAGG
rnacentral:rRNA from 1 species